UACGUAGGGGGCAAGCGUUGUCCGGAAUCAUUGGGCGUAAAGCGCGCGUAGGCGGCCCGGUAAGUCCGCUCUGAAAGUCCAGGGCUCAACCCUGGAAAGCGGGUGGAUACUGCCGGGCUAGAAUCCGGAAGAGGCGAGUGGAAUUCCUGGUGUAGUGGUGGAAUGCGCAGAUAUCAGGAGGAACACCAAUAGCGAAGGCAGCUCGCUGGGACGGUAUUGACGCUAAGGCGCGAAAGCGUGGGGAGCAAACAGG
rnacentral:rRNA from 1 species